rnacentral:rRNA from 1 species
GUCGAGAAUCUUCGGCAAUGGGCGAAAGCCUGACCGAGCGACGCCGCGUGUGCGAUGAAGGCCUUCGGGUUGUAAAGCACUGUCGAGGGGGAGGAAGCCGCAAGGUUGACCUAUCCCUGGAGGAAGCACGGGCUAAGUUCGUGCCAGCAGCCGCGGUAAGACGAACCGUGCGAACGUUGUUCGGAAUCACUGGGCUUAAAGGGCGCGUAGGCGGGCCAUCAAGUCGGGGGUGAAAUACUUCAGCUUAACUGGAGAACAGCCUUCGAUACUGGUGGUCUAGAGGGAGGUAGGGGUCUGCGGAACUUCCGGUGGAGCGGUGAAAUGCGUUGAUAUCGGAAGGAACGCCGGUGGCGAAAGCGGCGGACUGGACCUCUUCUGACGCUGAGGCGCGAAAGCUAGGGGAGCAAACGGGAUUAGAAACCCGGGUAGUCC